rnacentral:sRNA from 1 species
AUAUCUCUCCGUACGGGAAGGAUGAGAAGCUUCGACUAAGGUUCGAUUCGAGCGAAAGCGAGAAAGCGUUGCCGCAGGCAACGACCCGAAGGGCGAAGCGCGCAGCGCUGAGUCAUCCUUCCCCCACCAC